rnacentral:rRNA from 1 species
GAUGAACGCUGGCGGCGUGCCUAAUACAUGCAAGUCGAGCGAACAGAUGAGGAGCUUGCUCCUCUGACGUUAGCGGCGGACGGGUGAGUAACACGUGGAUAACCUACCUAUAAGACUGGGAUAACUUCGGGAAACCGGAGCUAAUACCGGAUAAUAUAUUGAACCGCAUGGUUCAAUAGUGAAAGACGGUUUUGCUGUCACUUAUAGAUGGAUCCGCGCCGCAUUAGCUAGUUGGUAAGGUAACGGCUUACCAAGGCAACGAUGCGUAGCCGACCUGAGAGGGUGAUCGGCCACACUGGAACUGAGACACGGUCCAGACUCCUACGGGAGGCAGCAGUAGGGAAUCUUCCGCAGUGGGCGAAAGCCUGACGGAGCAACGCCGCGUGAGUGAUGAAGGUCUUCGGAUCGUAAAACUCUGUUAUUAGGGAAGAACAAAUGUGUAAGUAACUAUGCACGUCUGGACGGUACCUAAUCAGAAAGCCACGGCGAACUACGU